AUUGAACGCUGGCGGCAUGCUUUACACAUGCAAGUCGAACGGUAACAGGCCGCAAGGUGCUGACGAGUGGCGAACGGGUGAGUAAUGCAUCGGAUCGUGCCCAGUCGUGGGGGAUAACGCAGCGAAAGCUGUGCUAAUACCGCAUACGAUCUAUGGAUGAAAGCGGGGGACCGUAAGGCCUCGCGCGAUUGGAGCGGCCGAUGUCAGAUUAGGUAGUUGGUGGGGUAAAGGCCUACCAAGCCGACGAUCUGUAGCUGGUCUGAGAGGACGACCAGCCACACUGGAACUGAGACACGGCCCAGACUCCUACGGGAGGCAGCAGUGGGGAAUUUUGGACAAUGGGCGCAAGCCUGAUCCAGCAAUGCCGCGUGCAGGAAGAAGGCCUUCGGGUUGUAAACUGCUUUUGUACGGAACGAAACGGUCUGGGUUAAUACCCUGGGCUAAUGACGGUACCGUAAGAAUAAGCACCGGCUAACUACGUGCCAGCCGCCGCCGUAAGAC
rnacentral:rRNA from 1 species